rnacentral:rRNA from 1 species
AUGUUAGCGGNGGACGGGUGAGUAACACGUGGGUAACCUACCUAUAAGACUGGGAUAACUCCGGGAAACCGGGGCUAAUACCGGAUAAUAUUUUGAACCGCAUGGUUCAAUAGUGAAAGACGGUCUCGGCUGUCACUUAUAGAUGGACCCGCGCCGUAUUAGCUAGUUGGUAAGGUAACGGCUUACCAAGGCGACGAUACGUAGCCGACCUGAGAGGGUGAUCGGCCACACUGGAACUGAGACACGGUCCAGACUCCUACGGGAGGCAGCAGUU